rnacentral:rRNA from 1 species
GGCACUUUUUAAUCCAUAUCCACCUUGUGUGCAAUGUCGGUCGCUCUCAUUCAUGGGAGCGGCCAAACAUCAACCUAUUCUUGAACUCUUUGUCUGAAAAAUAUUAUGAAUAAAAUAAUUCAAAAUACAACUUUCAACAACGGAUCUCUUGGCUCUCGCAUCGAUGAAGAACGCAGCGAAAUGCGAUACGUAAUGUGAAUUGCAGAAUUCAGUGAAUCAUCGAAUCUUUGAACGCAUAUUGCGCUCUUUGGUAUUCCAUGGGGCAUGCCUGUUCGAGCGUCAUUUGUACCUUCAAGCUUUGCUUGGUGUUGGGUGUUUGUCUCGCCUUUGCGUGUAGACUCGCCUCAAAACAAUUGGCAGCCGGCGUAUUGAUUUCGGAGCGCAGUACAUCUCGCGCUUUGCACUCAUAACGACGACGUCCAAAAGUACAUUUUUACACUCUUGACCUCGGAUCAGGUAGGGAUACCCGCUGAACUUAAGCAUAUCAAUA